rnacentral:rRNA from 1 species
GAUGAACGCUGGCGGCGUGCCUAAUACAUGCAAGUCGAGCGAACAGACGAGGAGCUUGCUCCUUUGACGUUAGCGGCGGACGGGUGAGUAACACGUAGGUAACCUACCUAUAAGACUGGGAUAACUUCGGGAAACCGGAGCUAAUACCGGAUAAUAUUUCGAACCGCAUGGUUCGAUAGUGAAAGAUGGCUUUUCUAUCACUUAUAGAUGGACCUGCGCCGUAUUAGCUAGUUGGUAAGGUAACGGCUUACCAAGGCAACGAUACGUAGCCGACCUGAGAGGGUGAUCGGCCACACUGGAACUGAGACACGGUCCAGACUCCUACGGGAGGCAGCAGUAGGGAAUCUUCCGCAAUGGGCGAAAGCCUGACGGAGCAACGCCGCGUGAGUGAUGAAGGUCUUCGGAUCGUAAAACUCUGUUAUUAGGGAAGAACAAACGUGUAAGUAACUGUGCACGUCUUGACGGUACCUAAUCAGAAAGCCACGGCUAACUACGUG